GGGUCAGUAAGUUGGUCGUGCCACCGGUACGUACUGGUCUCACUGAUUCCUCCUUCCUGAAGAACCGUAAUGCCAUUAAUUUGGUGUUGCGGGGAAACAGGACUGUUACUUUGAAAAAAUCAGAGUGUUUAAAGCAAGCUAACGCUUGAAUACAUUAGCAUGGAAUAAUGAAAUAGGACGAUCGAUCCUAUUUUGUUGGUUUCUAGUAUUGACGUA
rnacentral:rRNA from 1 species